rnacentral:rRNA from 1 species
CUAUGCGCCUUGCCAGCCCCGCUCAGAAACUCAAAGGAAUUGACGGGGCCCGCACAAGCAGCGGAGCGUGUGGUUUAAUUCGAUGAUACGCGAAGAACCUUACCUGGUCUUGACAUGCACGUGGUACUGAUUCGAAAGAUGAGGGACCCUUCGGGGAGCGUGCACAGGUGUUGCACGGCCGUCGUCAGCUCGUGCCGUGAGGUGUUGGGUUAAGUCUCGCAACGAGCGCAACCCCCGUCGCCAGUUGUAUUUUUCUGGCGAGACUGCCGGGAAAUCCCCGGAGGAAGGAGGGGAUGAUGUCAGGUCAGCGUGGCCCUUACGACCAGGGCUACACACACGCUACAAUGGGUGGUACAGAGGGUCGCGAAGCCGCGAGGUGGAGCUAAUCCCACAAAGCCAUCCUCAGUUCGGAUUGCAGGCUGAAACUCGCCUGCAUGAAGCCGGAGUUGCUAGUAACCGCAGGUCAGCACUACUGCGGUGAAUACGUUCCCGGGCCUU